AGCUUGCCAACCUGCCCACUCCCCGACCCUGCACAGGGCUCCCGGGAGCCGGGGGACAUGCUGCCGAGGAAGCUGAAGCA